AUGCACGCUGGCGGCGUGCCUAAUACAUGCAAGUCGAGCGAACGGACGAGAAGCUUGCUUCUCUGAUGUUAGCGGCGGACGGGUGAGUAACACGUGGAUAACCUACCUAUAAGCCUGGGAUAACUUCGGGAAACCGGAGCUAAUACCGGAUAAUAUUUUGAACCGCAUGGUUCAAAAGUGAAAGACGGUCUUGCUGUCACUUAUAGAUGGAUCCGCGCUGCAUUAGCUAGUUGGUAAGGUAACGGCUUACCAAGGCAACGAUGCAUAGCCGACCUGAGAGGGUGAUCGGCCACACUGGAACUGAGACACGGUCCAGACUCCUACGGGAGGCAGCAGUAGGGAAUCUUCCGCAAUGGGCGAAAGCCUGACGGAGCAACGCCGCGUGAGUGAUGAAGGUCUUCGGAUCGUAAAACUCUGUUAUUAGGGAAGAACAUAUGUGUAAGUAACUGUGCACAUCUUGACGGUACCUAAUCAGAAAGCCACGGCUAACUACGUG
rnacentral:rRNA from 1 species